rnacentral:rRNA from 1 species
GAUCCGGCUCAGGACGAAUGCUGGCGGCGUGCUUAAUACAUGCAAGUCGAACGAAGUUGCAUAUAGGAAGCCUUCGGGUGGAAUAGAUGUAGACUUAGUGGCGGACGGGUGAGUAACGCGUGAGCAACCUGCCCAUAAGAGGGGGACGAACAGUUGGAAACGACUGCUAAUACCGCAUAAGACCACGCUAUCGCAUGAUAGAGGGGUCAAAGAAAUAUCGCUUAUGGAUGGGCUCGCG